UAGACAGAAACAAAACGAGGGAUGCUGUUUGCGACGAUAUGUUUCUCGUAAUUCGUCAAUAUCAGAGACGGUUCUGGAGACGGUUUCGACGUUGCAGAGUGAGUUAGUUGAUAAUUCAAACGUUAUCAGAAGGCGACACGCGUAUUCGUCGCACGGCGGCAAGAAACGCGUUCCUAUCUGCGCGAAAAGACGGCUUUUCCACGAGGUACACUUAAAAAAGGAGCACGUCCAGUUUGCCUAACAUCAAUGGGUCUUUCCGAAUAAAAAGAAAGGAUAGAUAAUUUCGUUUCAACGGUACCAUGAACACGUUGGUGGAGACCGCAAGAGGAGAGGAGAUUACCUUGGUGAAAAAUAGCGACCUUUUCCUUCGCUUUCCCAGUAUAAAGUUGCAGUGCGCAAUAUGCGGCUUAUAGGUUAGACAACAAACGUCGACCUGUGUGGAUUUCGCAGUUCUACAUUACAUCAGGGUUUCUCAAUCCUUUUUGGCUUGCAAUUCACUUCUGGACAUUGGUACCUUUUAUAGCCCCCUUUCCCUAUUGCCUGCAUAUCUUCAUCGUACUAAUUCUUCCAUUUCUUCGAAUGGCCCCAAACAUUCGGUGUUAGACCUCCUGAAGGUCAUAUAGUUUUGGUGUUCCAUGAUGCUGACAGUGGUCAGUUAGUU